rnacentral:rRNA from 1 species
UACGAGGGGGGUUAGCGAUUCUCGGAAUCACUGGGCGUAAAGCGCACGUAGGCGGAUUGUUAAGUCAGGGGUGAAAUCCUGGAGCUCAACUCCAGAACUGCCUUUGAGACUGGCGAUCUUGAGUCCGGGAGAGGUGAGUGGAAUUGCGAGUGUAGAGGUGAAAUUCGUAGAUAUUCGCAAGAACACCAGUGGCGAAGGCGGCUCACUGGCCCGGUACUGACGCUGAGGUGCGAAAGCGUGGGGAGCAAACAGG